rnacentral:rRNA from 1 species
UACGUAGGGAGCAAGCGUUGUCCGGAAUCAUUGGGCGUAAAGCGCGCGUAGGCGGCCCCGUAAGUCCGCUGUGAAAGUCAAAGGCUCAACCUUUGAAAGCCGGUGGAUACUGUGGGGCUAGAGUCCGGAAGAGGCGAGUGGAAUUCCUGGUGUAGCGGUGAAAUGCGUAGAUAUCUGGAGGAACACCGGUGGCGAAGGCGGCAUCCUGGACCGGUAUUGACGCUGAUGCGCGAAAGCCAGGGGAGCAAACGGG